rnacentral:rRNA from 1 species
CCUACGGGGGGCAGCAGUGAGGAAUAUUGGUCAAUGGGCGCUAGACUGAACCAGCCAAGUAGCGUGCAGGAUGACGGCCCUAUGGGUUGUAAACUGCUUUUAUGCGGGGAUAAAGUGCGGUAUGUAUGCUGCUUUGCAUGUACCUCAUGAAUAAGGACCGGCUAAUUCCGUGCCAGCAGCCGCGGUAAUACGGAGGGUCCGGGCGUUAUCCGGAUUUAUUGGGUUUAAAGGGAGCGUAGGCGGGCUUUUAAGUCAGCUGUGAAAGUCUGCGGCUCAACCGUGGAAUUGCAGUUGAUACUGGCAGCCUUGAGUGCAGUAGAGGUUGGCGGAAUUCGUGGUGUAGCGGUGAAAUGCUUAGAUAUCACGAAGAACUCCGAUCGCGAAGGCA